UACGAAGGGGGCUAGCGUUGCUCGGAAUCACUGGGCGUAAAGGGCUCGUAGGCGGCCAACUAAGUCGGAUGUGAAAUCCCCAGGCUUAACCUGGGAACUGCAUCCGAUACUGGAUGGCUUGAAUCCGGGAGAGGGAUGCAGAAUUCCAGGUGUAGCGGUGAAAUGCGUAGAUAUCUGGAGGAAUACCGGUGGCGAAGGCGGCAUCCUGGACCGGCAUUGACGCUGAUGAGCGAAAGCCAGGGGAGCAAACGGG
rnacentral:rRNA from 1 species